rnacentral:rRNA from 1 species
AAAACAUCCUUGGCAAAUGCUUUCGCAGUAGUUAGUCUUCAAUAAAUCCAAGAAUUUCACCUCUGACAAUUGAAUACUAAUGCCCCCAACUAUCCCUAUUAAUCAUUACGUCAAUCCUAGAAACCAACAAAAUAGGGUCAACGUCCUAUUUCAUUAUUCCAUGCUAAUGUAUUCAAGCGCGAGCCUGCUUUAAACACUCUAAUUUUUUCAAAGUAACAGUCCUGAUUCCCCGCCACACCAAAUUAAUGACAUGAUGGUUCGUCGGAAGGUAGGAACCAGUAACACCAGUACGUACCGAAGGCACGACCAAUGUACUAAUCCCGAAAUUCAACUACGAGCUUUUUAACUGCAACAACUUUAAUAUACGCUAUUGGAG